UACGGAGGGUGCAAGCGUUAAUCGGAAUUACUGGGCGUAAAGCGUGCGUAGGCGGUUCGUUAAGUCUGUUGUGAAAGCCCCGGGCUUAACCUGGGAACUGCAUUUGUGACUGCAUAGCUAGAGUACGGUAGGAGGGGGAUGGAAUUCGCGUGUAGCAGUGAAAUGCGUAGAUAUGCGGAGGAACACCGAUGGCGAAGGCAAUCCCCUGGACCUGUACUGACGCUCAUGCACGAAAGCGUGGGGAGCAAACAGG
rnacentral:rRNA from 1 species